GCCCGGGUGGCGGAACGGCAGACGCAGGGAGCUUAAACCUCCUGGCCCUCACAGGCGUACGGGUUCGAAUCCCGUCCCGGGCA
rnacentral:tRNA from 1 species